AGACCAAUCAGAGCUAUGCUGGCUUCCAUAUUCUUAAGCCUCCUAAUGUGGCAGACAGCCAUCCCUGUCCCUUCCCUGAUAGACCUCCAGCAGGAGGCUCUGCAAGAAGAGGUCAAUGUGCUGGUCUACGGAGUGAUACAAUUCAGCCAGGCACUGCACAACCUCUACAACUCCAUGGCACAGAAGCUGGACAAGAUCAGACAACGCAUGGACUUCUAUCAGCAGAACUUUAAGGUAUUAUAUCAUCAAGUUCAGAGUAUCCAGUUGGACCGGAAUGAGAACAGAGAGAGGAUUAAAGGACUGAAGGCAGAGGGCACAAUAUUGAAACAACAGGCUCAGGCCAAGAGGGAAGAGCUGCAGGAGUUGCUAGUGGAUCAUCAAAAUAUGCUGCUACAAGUUAAGUUGCUUGAAGAAAAGCUAUCCAGCAUGGAUCACCAAGAUUUCCAAAACAAAGAAUGGGAGCUUGCAACUAUGAGGGAAUGACUUUGGGAAACAAGAGCCGCAGACUGCCAUGCAAAAGGUAUCUCAGGCCAGAGAAGCACAUUGGUGGUGGUGGAGGCCCAUGUGCAACAGCAGAAUUUCACCAUCUGGUUCCUACUGGAAGCAGCCAAGCAGCAGCAAGAGCAAAUGGCUGAACAGGAAAAAAAGCUGCUCUGGAUUCAAGAAAAAGGCAAGACAAGAUGAAAAGAUAUUUCUUAGGAAGGAUACUAUUACAUAUAUCAAAUGAUGUGACCAGUGGCCUUGGCAGAGUUAACUCCUAUAUGUAACAACAGAUUAUUAAAGUGAAGUUUCAGAUCACUGACAAAGGAGGUAUUUAUCUCAUAUUGG